rnacentral:rRNA from 1 species
GACGAACGCUGGCGGCGUGCCUAAUACAUGCAAGUCGAGCGGACGAAUCGAAAGCUUGCUUUUGAUUCGUUAGCGGCGGACGGGUGAGUAACACGUGGGCAACCUGCCCUGUAGACGGGGAUAACACCGAGAAAUCGGUGCUAAUACCGGAUAACACGAAAUGUCGCAUGACGUUUCGUUGAAAGACGGCGCAAGCUGCCGCUACAGGAUGGGCCCGCGGCGCAUUAGCUAGUUGGUGAGGGAACGGCUCACCAAGGCGACGAUACGUAGCCGACCUGAGGGGGUGAUCGGCCACACUGGGACUGAGCCACGGCCCAGACUCCUACGGGAGGCAGCAGUAGGGAAUCUUCCGCAAUGGACGAAAGUCUGACGGAGCAACGCCGCGUGAGCGAAGAAGGCCUUCGGGUCGUAAAGCUCUGUUGUUAGGGAAGAACAAGUAACGCAGUAACUGGCGUUACCGUGACGGUACCUAACGAGAAAGCCACGGCUAACUACGUG